rnacentral:rRNA from 1 species
AUGUAUAGCAAUAGCUAAUUGCACCAACAAAUAGUUGACGCAAUAUCGACUCUGUCGAAUAAAAUUCUAGGUAGAAUUAUGAUAAUGACAUUGUCUGCCUAUGUGUCUUGACCAAAUUACGUGCCAGCAGUCGCGGUAAUACGUAGAAGACUAGUGUUAUUCAUCUUUAAUAGGUUUAAAGGGUACCUAGACGGUAAAUCAAGCCUUCAAGGGGACUAAUUUACUAGAGUUACUUGUGAGGGGGUAUUAAAGUACUAAUGGUGUAGAGAUGAAAUUCUGUCAUACCUCUUUUCGUAAGAAAGAUUACGGCACAGGUAUAGGCGAAAGCAUCCCCUUAUGUGAUAACUGACGUUGAAGGACGAAGG